rnacentral:rRNA from 1 species
UACGUAGGUGGCAAGCGUUAUCCGGAAUUAUUGGGCGUAAAGCGCGCGUAGGCGGUUUCUUAAGUCUGAUGUGAAAGCCCACGGCUCAACCGUGGAGGGUCAUUGGAAACUGGGAGACUUGAGUGCAGAAGAGGAAAGUGGAAUUCCAUGUGUAGCGGUGAAAUGCGUAGAGAUAUGGAGGAACACCAGUGGCGAAGGCGACUUUCUGGUCUGUAACUGACACUGAGGCGCGAAAGCGUGGGGAGCAAACAGG